CCUGGAAUACGCCAUUUCCUAAGGACAGAACUCUGACGGGCUACCAGGGCCCAGACGAGGAGGGGAACGGGAACUGCCGGCCCAGUAGGUUGCAGAGCACGGCCCAGCCUGCAAGCACUACGGAGAACCGACUCAGCAAGGUGACGCAACAAAAAGGGAGACAAGUAAAAACGCAGAAGAGCAUGCAGCGAAUGAACAAAGAGAGCAAAACAACAAGCAAGCCACGAGGGGGCAGGAUAAAUACACACAGAAGAUCGCACAGCGAAUGGACACAGAGAGCAGACAGCAAGCAAAAAGCCCCAAGGCAGGGGGGAUUAAAAAAAAACCUCCGUGGGCUGUGCGCUCUCCCCUUCCCCUAGGGCCUCUGACAUCUCGGGCUGAGUUGGGAGUAGGAGUUCUUGAGAAGCGCUGCCCCUGACCUGGUAAAGCCCCUUACGACCCGACACAAGCAAGAAAUAAACUUCCUCUGCAUUUGAGCCUAGGAAUUCUGUUGUUGUUUUUUCUGUUGUAUCUGCAAGCUUUACCUUAACCAGGGUAGGUACAUACAACUAGUAUAUAUGGUAUAAAUAACACAGGGAAUAACUAGUCUCAGCUUACAGGUGAGGAAACCGAGGCAUAGGGAAGCUGAAGCGCUUGUCCAGGCUAAGGGGUAGAGCCAGGACUUGAACCCAGGGUCUGCAUUCUGCAAGGGUAGGCCAGGGGGCUGGGAGGCCCUGAGCACCUCCUCACUGCCACCCAGGCCCCCUGUGCCUGUGGGCUGGGUGAAGCGCAGCAGCUCCCUGCACCCUGGCCCCUGCCUGCCACCCACUCAUUGCUCUGGUUCCUUCCCUGCC
rnacentral:lncRNA from 1 species